GAUGAACGCUGGCGGCGUGCCUAAUACAUGCAAGUCGAGCGAACAGACGAGGAGCUUGCUCCUCUGACGUUAGCGGCGGACGGGUGAGUAACACGUGGAUAACCUACCUAUAAGACUGGGAUAACUUCGGGAAACCGGAGCUAAUACCGGAUAAUAUAUUGAACCGCAUGGUUCAAUAGUGAAAGACGGUUUUGCUGUCACUUAUAGAUGGAUCCGCGCCGCAUGAGCUAGUUGGUAAGGUAACGGCUUACCAAGGCAACGAUGCGUAGCCGACCUGAGAGGGUGAUCGGCCACACUGGAACUGAGACACGGUCCAGACUCCUACGGGAGGCAGCAGUAGGGAAUCUUCCGCAAUGGGCGAAAGCCUGACGGAGCAACGCCGCGUGAGUGAUGGAGGUCUUCGGAUCGUAAAACUCUGUUAUUAGGGAAGAACAAAUGUGUAAGUAACUAUGCACGUCUUGACGGUACCUAGUCAGAAAGCCACGGCUAACUACGUG
rnacentral:rRNA from 1 species